GACGUAGGGGGCGAGCGUUGUCCGGAUUUAUUGGGCGUAAAGAGCGCGCAGGCGGUCGUUCAAGUCGCGUGUGAAAGCCCCCGGCUCAACUGGGGAGGGUCACGCGAUACUGAUCGACUGGAAGGCAGGAGAGGGUAGUGGAAUUCCCGGUGUAGUGGUGAAAUGCGUAGAUAUCGGGAGGAACACCAGUGGCGAAGGCGACUACCUGGCCUGUUCUUGACGCUGAGGCGCGAAAGCUAGGGGAGCAAACGGG
rnacentral:rRNA from 1 species